AGCGAACGCUGGCGGCGUGCCUAACACAUGCAAGUCGAACGUGAAAGGGAGCAAUCCCAAGUAAAGUGGCGUACGGGUGAGUAACACGUAGGUAAUCUACCCCAGAAUCUGGAAUAACCGGCCGAAAGGCUGGCUAAUACUGGAUAGAGCGACGGAAUCCGUAAUUGGGUUUUUCGGGAAAGGGAGCCUGUAAAAAGGCCUUCGUUCUGGGAUGAGCCUGCGUCCCAUCAGCUAGUUGGUGAGGUAAAAGCUUACCAAGGCAAUGACGGGUAGCUGGUCUGAGGGGACGAUCAGCCACACUGGAACUGAAACACGGUCCAGACUCCUACGGGAGGCAGCAGUGGGGAAUCUUGCGCAAUGGACGAAAGUCUGACGCAGCAACGCCGCGUGAGUGAAGAAGGCCUUCGGGUUGUAAAGCUCUGUCGAGUGGGACGAAAAUGCUUGGAGUUCACAGCUCCAGGAACUGACGGUACCACUAAAGGAAGCACCGGCUAACUCCGUG
rnacentral:rRNA from 1 species